rnacentral:rRNA from 1 species
AUUGAACGCUGGCGGCAUGCUUUACACAUGCAAGUCGAACGGCAGCGCGGGGCAACCUUGCGGCGAGUGGCGAACGGUUGAGUAAGAUAUCGGAACGUACCCAGAUGUGGGUGAUAACGUAGCGAAAGGUACGCUAAUACCGCAUACGAUCUAAGGAGGACAGUAGGGGACCGCAAGGCCUUUUGCUUUUGGACCGGCCGAUAUCUGAUUAGCUAGUUGUUGAGGUAAAGGCUCACCAAGGCGACGAUCAGUAGCUGGUCUGAGAGGACAACCGGCCACACUGGACCUGAGACACGGUCCAGACUCCUACGGGAGGAAGCAGUGGGAAAUUUUGGACAAUGGGCGCAAGCCUGAUCCAGCAAUGCCGCGUGAGUGAAGAAGGCCUUCGGGUUGUAAAGCUCUUUUGUCGGGGAAGAAACGGUAGAGGCUAAUAUCCUUUGCUAAUGACGGUACCUGAAGAAUAAGAACCGGCUACCUCCGU